CGCUACUGGCGGUACUUGGGGAUCACCGACGACAAACCCGCGAGAAACCACCGCGCCACCAUCUGCAACUAAAUUGACCGUUAUUUAAAUAUGGAAGAAACAAACGCCUUGUAACCUAACCUUAAUGUCUAUGGAGCACGAAUAAUCUAGAAUUGACAAUUUUAGAAACUCGGAUUUGACGCGCGCAGAAAAUGCCGACGACGUCGUUACUGAGAACUACCAAAAUGUAGGCUAUUGGUUGGAUGAUUUUACCCCUUAAAAUAGGAAUACUAUAAUCAUAUUGUGAAAUUUUAAUUCACAAUUUGUGUUUUUAAAAAAUUCUUUAAAUAAAAAUAUU